rnacentral:rRNA from 1 species
GAGGACGCUCACCACUUUGUGGUUCAUGACUGGGGUGAAGUCGUAACAAGGUAGCCCUAGGGGAACCUGGGGCUGGAUCACCUCCUUAUACGAUGAU